rnacentral:rRNA from 1 species
AUUGAACGCUGGCGGCAUGCUUUACACAUGCAAGUCGAACGGCAGCGCGGGCUUCGGCCUGGCGGCGAGUGGCGAACGGGUGAGUAAUGCAUCGGAACGUGCCCAGUAGUGGGGGAUAGCCCGGCGAAAGCCGGAUUAAUACCGCAUACGACCUGAGGGUGAAAGCGGGGGACCGAAAGGCCUCGCGCUAUUGGAGCGGCCGAUGUCGGAUUAGCUAGUUGGUGGGGUAAAGGCUUACCAAGGCGACGAUCCGUAGCUGGUCUGAGAGGACGACCAGCCAAACGGGGACUUGGGCCAGGACCAGACUCCUACGGGAGGCAGCAGUGGGGAAUUUUGGACAAUGGGGGCAACCCUGAUCCAGCCAUGCCGCGUGCGGGAAGAAGGCCUUCGGGUUGUAAACCGCUUUUGUUCGGGAAGAAAUCCUCUGGGCUAAUACCCCGGGGGGAUGACGGUACCGGAAGAAUAAGCACCGGCUAACUACGUG